UACGUAGGUGGCAAGCGUUGUCCGGAUUUACUGGGUGUAAAGGGCGUGCAGCCGGGCUGACAAGUCAGAUGUGAAAUCCCGCGGCUCAACCGCGGAACUGCAUUUGAAACUGUCAGUCUUGAGUACCGGAGAGGUCAUCGGAAUUCCUUGUGUAGCGGUGAAAUGCGUAGAUAUAAGGAAGGACACCAGUGGCGAAGGCGGAUGACUGGACGGCAACUGACGGUGAGGCGCGAAAGCGUGGGGAGCAAACAGG
rnacentral:rRNA from 1 species